CUUCUUUUCAUUUGAGGUUGGAACUAAACGAUCUCUGAAAGUCCCUUCCAACCGAAGCCAUUCUCUCAUUCUGUGAUCUACUGGCGGCAUUGUUUGAGUUUCUAGAAUAUUUACGCAGGCUUUUGCAAUUGCACCACAUUUUCAAGGUUGUUCCCAUUUUUAUUUUUUUUAGCAUUUCCAUUUGUUCACGUACUUCAGUCCGGAGCACCCCCCUGACCCCAGGACAGCUUGCUUCUCCUCCCCCAUCUGUAGCGCUGCCAACAGAGGCAGAACCACUGUGCUUACAUUGCAGUGGCUGCAGCAGGCAGGGACUGCGGUGUGCUGGGUCAAUGGUGGGAUGGGCGAUGUGAACUCAAGGGAAAUGAAGAGAUAAUGGCUGCAAUGCCCUCUUUUUGCUCUAGGGUGUUUUUUUUUUUUUUUUUUUUUUCCACUUUCCUCCCCCUCUCUAAGCUCCCGUGCCUGCUUUAAUCACCAUUGCAGAGCGCUGCGCAGAGAGAUGGCUGAGUACAAAGUGCAGGGGAAGCAGUGGGAGGGUCAGGUGAGGACUGAGAAGGGCGAGAGGAAAAGGUCAGUGACGCAAGCCCAGCGCGAUGGCUCUCCCUCAGCUGAGCCGCUCUGCUGUUUGUCCGUGGUGCGCUAUUUCUUCUCGGCAACAAUUCACACAUCUGGGGACCACAACUCCUUCCACCGCCCACGCUCUUCCUCCCCCCUCAUAGGGGCUGAGGCAAGGGAGGGGGAAGGAGGGGAGCUGCUGCACGGGGCUGCCGGCAUCGUUUCCAAGACGGAAGGGGAAUAAAAGUCUCAAGCAGUCCUUCUCCACAGCCGACUUCCCUCCAGGCGUUGAGGACCUCUGAUGGAGGGACCUGCUUCUUGCAAAGAAAGAAAGGGGGGAUCCUUGCUCAUGAACUCAGGUCUCACCUGCAGAGCUGUGACUAAGGGAUGGGACCCUGGUGCCUGUGGACAUGUGCUGUCUUUGGGCUGUUUCCAGAUGCUGGAACAAAGUUCUAAAGAGCCUCUCCCUCACGUCCGUGCAUACCAUUCUCAGCAAUCAGAAGAGGAGGAAAAAGGCAUCCUGCUCUUGUCUUUCUCUCAAGGAACCAAGGGUCAUUUUCUCUGAGACCUUCAGAUCCCAUUUACAAAUAUAGGCACAGUCAAUGGGGCUAGUGUGAUGGGAAGCAUCUUGGUCUUUGUAUUCAUAGCAACAAACCUGAAAUCUCACAUGUGGAAUACACUGUGUAACAAAUGGUUGGACUAGAUGACCUUUGUGGUCUUUUCAACCUUAAUGAUUCUAUAAUUCUGUGAUUUUACAGUUCUUUCUCACAUGCAAAACCUUCAGGCUUCUCAGAGGCCACAAUGGGAAAAAUAGCCAUUUCCACACUGCUUCUUUUUUUUCUCCAAGUGAUGAUCCUGAAAUGUUCACCAGGAUUAGGUCAGUUGUCUCAGCAUCAAGAAGAAGGGAUCCACUUUUUACACAGUGUGAUAAUGGUAGGACAAGGGGUAAUAGCUUUAAAUUAAAAGAGGGGAUAUUUAGGUUAGGUGUUAGGAAGAAAUUCUCUACUCAGAGGGCAGUGAGGCACUGGCACAGCUGCCCAGAGGAGCUGUGGUGCCCCAUCUCUGAAGGCAUUCAAGGCCAGGUUGGAUGGGGCCCUGGGCAGCUGAGCUGGUGGGUGGCAGCCCUGCCCAUGGCAAAGAGUUGGAACUGGACAGUCUUCAUGGGCCCUUUCAACCCAAGCCAUUCUAUGGUUCCAUGAAGACCUUUCUAUGCCAGCAUCUCCAGCUAGAAAAUUGACUCUUCAGUUUUGUGUCACCUGAAGUCUUGUCAACCUGCAGAAGUGCUCUGCUACAGGUGGUUUACUUCAGACUCUCUGGGAGGAAAAGUCUGCAGAGAACCAGGGCCAGAAGUGGGCUCUCAAGCAGGAUGAGGAUCCCUGCAGGCCGACCUGUUCCACAAGGCAGAACGUCCCUUGGGAGAGUGAGGUGCCAUCCAGUGCUUGGUCACAAGCCUGGUCUUCACCUUUCCCUUUCACUCCGUCCAUAUGGGAUCACUGGCUGUGGCAAUUGCCUUUCUCAUCAAAUCUUUCACCUCUCAAGGUGAAGAAAAAGGAGGAGGAUAUUCAGUAGCAAGAGAAGUAGAGGAGCAAACGGUGGCCUGAACCCGGGAAGCCACAGAGCAGGGGGAAAAAUGGCUCUCCUGACUCAACCAAGGGGAGAGAAACGAGCACAAUCCAGUGGACAGAGCAAUAGGGAGACAGGAAGCAGCUUCUAAACAAGUCUUUUUUCAAUUCAGGCAUGGUAGUGACUUUAAAAGUAAUAAUUGCUAUAGUUGCAAAUCAAUAACACCCAGAAGAGCCUAAGGAGGAAUGGGGACUUGGCCUUUGGAUAAGCAUGACAUCAUCAAACCUAUUUGAAAAUAAAAUAAACAAUCUAAUAAAUCCCUUUCUAACCACUACUCAGAGAGAGAUGAAGAAAACAAAAGGAGCAAGGAGAGCUCCGAGCAGAAUGGAGGCAGUUGUUGUAAUUAAUUUUCCGUAUAGAAGGAAGGGACAUAAGAGGAAGCCCUGCUUAUCUGAGCACCUGAAGUUUAUUCCCAAGAAUCUCCUUGCAGUAUCAUACAUUGCCCUCAAGCAAUUUGAAUGUAAAAUAAAU
ensembl:lncRNA